AUUGAACGCUGGCGGCAGGCCUAACACAUGCAAGUCGAGCGGAGCGGCGGACGGGUGAGUAAUGCCUAUGAAUCUGCCUCGUCGUGGUGGAUAACGUCCGGAAACGGGCGCUAAUGCCGCAUACUAUCAGAUGAGCCUAGGUCGGAUUAGCUAGUUGUUGGGGGAAAGGCCUACCAAGGCGACGAUCCGUAACUGGUCUGAGAGGAUGAUCAGUCACACUGGAACUGAGACACGGUCCAGACUCCUACGGGAGGCAGCAGUGGGGAAUAUUGGACAAUGGGCGCAAGCCUGAUGCAGCCAUGCCGCGUGUGUGAAGAAGGCCUUCGGAUUGUAAAGCACUUUAAGCUGGGAGGCGUUACCAACAGAAUAAGCACCGGCUAACUCCGUGCCAGCCGCCGCGGUAAUUC
rnacentral:rRNA from 1 species